AAACAAACAUGUUUGGAAAACAUCAAAAAUAGGAACAAACAGAUAAGAAUGAAUCAACCAUGUCUGUUCAUAUUGUGGAGCAGAAGAGAAGACAGGGGCGUACUCCAGCCAUUCAUUAAUCUAAAAAACUGGUGAGUAUCAACCAAAUAUAAUUAGUAAUUCUUGAUAAAUACAAAACUACACCAACCUAAUAUCUUUAUUUAAUUAGGUGUUUCGAAUAGGUAACUUAUUUGAAAAAGGAAAAGAAAAAAGAAAUUCACCUGGAUGGUGGAUACAAAGCAGAUAAUCAACAUGCCCAUCAGAAACGGUCAGUCAAAUCUUCAAAAAAAUAAAAGUAAAUUAAAAAAAAAAGUAAAGGAUUAACAAUACAUAGACACAGAUAGCCACUUCAACAAAUUAAAAAACUUUAAAUUAUUGAAAAAAAAGAUACGAUGAAAUAAUCAUCUCUACAAUAUCAGAAAACCAUAACAACCUAAAAAUUAAAAAAAUCAACUAUUAGAGUUUGAGAGCGAGGCCAGAGAACGGGAGCGAGACAAAUUAGAAGGUUUUCUAAUUUUAAGGAAUCCUAAAACAGAAAACUGAAUUGGUUUUGUUGAGGAACCCUAAAAAAGAAAUCUCCAUUUGUUUUAUUACUGUUGAAUAAGACCAACAUUAACCGAUCCCCAAAAAAUAAAGAUGAAGAAGCGAAUGCUCUCCCCACCAAAUCAGUUUGAGAAUUUUUUGGGGGGAUGUGAUCGACGGCGGAAGAUGACAAUCGUAGAAAGAGAAAGCAUGAGGAAUAGAAACAGAGAAUUCUCAUUGCCAUUUGAUAUGGAAAUUUAUAAAACGGAAACGACAUACUGGAUGAUGAGGCGUUAUGAAUCCACUUUGAUAUGCAUGGCGUCGUUCACAAGACGCCAUCUGCAAUUCUUAAACCAUCUCUCACGCAAGCGGAUACGACAAAACGGAAGAUGAAUUGGUAUGAGUCGAUGUUGAAAAUUAUAGCGUCGUUUAGAAGGUGGGUUACGUGGCAUUAAAUUAAGUAAAAUUAAGUAGGUUAAAUUAAUUUACAAGGCACGAGAUAAAAAAAAACUUUAUAUAUNNNNNNNNNNNNNNNNNNNNNNNNNNNNNNNNNNNNNNNNNNNNNNGGUUUUGUGGGUCAUAAUCACUGCCCAUGAAGGGUAAUUUUAGUAUUUUUCUCUAAAAUGGGGUCGACACAAAUAUGAUUUGUGUUUCUAUUGUUUUUCAAAGUUGAUCGUCAAGACAUAUCAAUAUUGAAAAAUGGUGCUAUAAAAGGAAAAAAAAAUAGAAUGAUAUAAUACAUAACCAAAUGACAUUACAUUUGCUACUUGCAUUCAACCCAAAGAUCUCCAAUUUUCUUUUUUCUUUCUUCGACGAUGGCAUCAGAAAUUUUAGCCUCAAUAGUUUUUGGAGCGUCAAGUAGAAGCUUCGCUAUGGCAGUUGUUGCCAUUAAAACGCGCGAGAAAAACCAAAAUUAAUCAAUUUAAUACACACAAGAAUAACAAACAACUAAAUCAAAGGAGCAUCAAAAAUGGAAUUUAUGUACUAUAUUUCAUGUCCGAGUUGUUGGCCCACUGCAAGUAGCUCAAUUACAACCUCAACCUUUUCAUUUUGCGUCAUUGUCAAAAAAAAAAAAAAAAUUUCUACCAAAUAUUAAAACCUUAUAAGACUAAAAAAAGAUAUCGCAUUUCAACAGAAAUUCAAUAAGCUGGAUAAAAACUAUUUGUGACGCUAGGCAGUGAGCUCAUCUAUUCAAUACACUUGGUAGAUCUGAUUCCUUUAUGUUUUCAACUUAUUCAAAAAUCCCUUUCAUAACACUGAAAAUGCAAAUAGACAAACCAUUUCACUUAAGCUAUUUCAAUUUCCCAGCAUCUCCUAAAGCAAGAUAAUUUUGAAUUUUUUUUUUUUCAUGAAGUAUACCAACCUUCUAUAACACAAAGCAUAUAAGUAUCCACAUUUAAUAGCUUUUGCAGUUCCCGGUCAUUUCCACUUCUAUCUUUUGCCAUGUCCAUGGCUAUGGAAGCUACAAAAUCAUUAUUGACAAGUACAAAAAAUAUUUUCUCAUCGAUUUAACAAAAAAGUUAGUGAUGCACCUUGAUACCAAGUUAAAAUCGAGGCCACUCAAAUAAGAUUCAAGUCAAAUAAGCCCAACAUGGCAUUAGUAGAAGGUUCAUUUCCAAGCUAUGUGCCUUGUUUGAAAUUCUUGCUAGGAUUUUAUGUUCUUUAUCGAAUUUGGAUAUUGAAAUGUUUGUUAUUAUCUUUUUGGCUGAGUUUUAAAAUAAAAAAUAUAAAUAUAAAUAAGUGAAUUUCAUUCAUUUUUUAAUAAGUUACAACUUAAUGUGUUCCAAUCAUGAAUCAAAAGCAACUUCACUAUCAAAAUAUAAUAGGACUAUGACUACAAGAGUGUUCUAGGCUCAUGCCUCAAAAACUAACAAAUACAUUUCCAAAUAAUAGUCCUGGAGGUGAAUAGUCACAGACACAAACACUUUUUAUCCAAGAUGAAUUUAAUAAACCCUAUGUGCUUUGGUCUUACGUGCUUCUACAUUUGAAUAAAAAAUUCUGAUCAAAGAUUAAAAAAAAUAACCUUUGUACAUGGUAGGAUACGAAGAAACUGCCAAUUUCCAUUUGACUUCGAGAAAUCAUAUCCUGCAGAAAUGGUAAAAUAAAAAAUUUAAGAAAUAAAGAUUGGAUACAAAUGAAGCAUGUCUGUAAUGACAUGCUUUACAACCAAUCCACUAAAUCAAGAAAUAUUUGCAAACCUAUUACAAAAGUUAACAAAUAAAAUGAAAAGUUGUUGACUUUCAAAUAGAGUCCAAUAAAUAUAUGUUAAUGAGAAUAUAACUUAAUUUAAGAGGUUUAUGGAACUAAAGAAACAUACAGUUUCAGUUGAAUCAUUCUAGUUGUAAUCUUUUCCUUUUGAUUUAAUAAACUUUUUCACCUUCUCUUGAUUUCAUUCCUCUAUUCUUUCUAAGAUACCACAAGAAAGAAACGCAUCGAAUCACAUGAAAAAAAAAAGUUGUUAUUAACUUUAUUAUGUCUUUUUUGAAAUUACAGCAACCACCACUUGAAACUUGAAAGAUUUUAACUUUUUAGCAUUCUAAAAAAAAUAAAAAUCAAAUUAAACCUAUACACAUCGCAGGAAAAAUAGUUAAUUGAAACCCAAAUCCAAACUGGUUUAACAUGGAAAUCAGAAAACUAUACCGACUGUGAAAACUAAAAUAAACACAAAAAAAUAUGAAUUUUCAAAAUCAAGAAAUAGAGAGAGAUAUGAACCGUAUUAGCAAAUAAGAAGAGUAAAUCAGGAUGAAGUGAUGAACGUUCAUCAGAAAAAUCGAAAACCUAUCUCCAAAAUUGAUUAUCCUUCAAACCCCAAAUCAUAGAGAAUCAACACAAAGUGAAAAUGCAAAGACAUAUUUAGAAAAUGUAUGUGACAAUCGGGAGAACGAACACCGACCAUUCAUAUAGUUUCUAGAUGGAAUUGAAACGUGUUGCACAAAGUUUCUUCAAAAAUAAUUGUUAUAGUCGUCUGAAAACCCACCGUCUUAAAGGAAGACGCAUAAUCUGGAAAUUUAAAGUUAGGGUUUUCCAAAAUCGAAAGUCGACGAUGUUAUCGUUUUGAUUGAGAGAGAAAUAGGAAGCGAAGGAACAUACAUAUUUGCCAAAAAUAUGCGGAUCCAAACCAUAUAUACCCACCAGAGUCGGGGUUAAUGGAGAACGGGAUUCGGUGGAUGAAUGGAGAGGGGUGGAUGUAAGGAGGGGAAGCGAAACGGCUCAACAGAACAUGAUUCAGCAUGAACAUAUGUUACCUCUUGUUCCCGAGUUUUUUUUUUUUAAAUUCAUUAAAAGGAAAGGAAAGGAAAUUAUUAACGGAAGGACAGG
rnacentral:lncRNA from 1 species